rnacentral:rRNA from 1 species
AUUGAACGCUGGCGGCAGGCCUAACACAUGCAAGUCGAACGAGUGGCGGACGGGUGAGUAAUGUCUGGGAAACUGCCCGGUGGAGGGGGAUAACUACUGAAAACGGUAGCUAAUACCGCAUACCCUCGGAUGUGCCCAGAUGGGAUUAGCUAGUAGGUGGGGUAAUGGUUCAACUAGGCGACGAUCCCUAGCUGGUCUGAGAGGAUGACAAGCCAGACUGGAACGGAGACACGGUCCAUACUCCUACGGGAGGCAGCAGUGGGUAAUAUUGCACAAUGGGCGCAAGCCUGAUGCAGCCAUGCCGCGUGUAUGAAGAAGGCCUUCGGGUUGGAAAGUACUUUCAGCGAGGAGGCGUUACUCGCAGAAGAAGCAUCGGCUAACUCCGUGCCAGCAGCCGCGGUAAUAC